rnacentral:lncRNA from 1 species
CUGGCUUUGAACUCCAGAUCCUCCUGCCUCAGCCUUCCAAUUUGCUGGGUGUGCGCGACUGCCCUCCACUCAGUGAUAAGUUCUCCACCAAAACACUCUUAGUGCAAUUGGGAACAAAAGCCACUCUCCCUGUGGCAGAAAGCUGUGAGGUCCAAGCUGUCGACAGCCAUGUUUCCUGCCGUGUGGAGGAGGCCAGUCUAUGGUGAGGAAGAAGGAAGUUGACACAGAGUAGGAGAAAAGAGGGCCACAGGGUCCUGAGGGCUUUCAGGUACCUUGUUACAGAUGUCCCUAAGGAAAAUUGACCGUUUUAAAGUGCACGAUUCAGUAGUAUUUGCUACAUCACAGUGUUGCAUAACCAGCACCUCUAUCGAGUUCCAGAACACUUCUAUCACUCCAGAGUAAAAACUCUUACCCAUUAAAGCAGUUUCUCCCAAUUUCUUACCAUCCCCAGUGCCUGUCACUUUUCAUUCCAUCUUUAUAGAUUUAUCUAUUCUGGAUAUUUCAUAUAAAGGGAAUCAUAUAAUAUGUGAACUAUUCUGUCUGGCUUCUUUUGCUUAACAUUUUGAAGGUUCAUCUGUGUUGUAACAUGUCCC